GGGCGGCAGGAGCAGAGACGCAUCGCCGCUGGCUGGAGGCGCUGGAACCAGGCCACCUCAGCGCGGAGGGACCAGGUGGCCCCUGGACACCAGAGGGGCAAGGACACGGAUUCGCACCUAGAGCCACCGUAAAGGAAUAUAGCUGAGCCGACACCUUGAUUUUAGCCAGGCCAGACUUCUCGUCUCCAGAGCUACGAAUUGCUCUGUAUUUGCGGAUGUUAUAAAAUGUAUCCAUAAUCCCCAAAUCAGCUAUGUUAGCCCGGAAAGACACAGCCUAUGUAAUCUCACAAAUGUGAAACUUAGAUUACAGAAACCUGAGUUGUGCUCUUUAAUGUUUUGCCCACUGGGAGACUUUCCUGUCUUUCUGAGCAACCCUGGAUGGAAGCAAUACACCUCUGGCCUGUGGUAGCAUGUCAUGUGGAACCAGAUCACUCUCAUCGUACAAUACCAGUUCCGGUGUCUUGAUGACACCCUGUAGAGAGGCUCCCAUGGUGAAGAGAAGACUCUUGCUGGCAACCAUGUGAGUGAGGCAUCUUGGAAGUGGUUCCUCAAGCAUUCAGAUGACUGAAGCCCUGGCCAAUGCCUUGACUGAAACCACAGAAGACCUUGAGCCAGAACCCCUCAGAUAAGAUACUGCUAAAUUCUUUAUUCACAGACAAUGUGAUAUGUUUUUGUUUAUUUUAAGGGAUUAAGCUUUGAGACUAAUUUGGUAUUCAGUAACAGACAACUAAUAAACUUUAGCAAUGAGUAUGGGAAUAUAAUAGUUUUAGUAUUGAUUGAUGGAUUGAUGGAUUGCUUCAGCAUUUCUAUACAGCAGGAGAAUGAAAUAUGUCCAGCAAAUGAGAGUAAGAAAUAUUUCCUAAUGUGAAUGUUUAAGAAUCCAUUCAAAAUGGUGUCCUAGAGACUAAGUACAGAAAUUAUUGUUGAAAGGAAAGGAUAAAACUUGGGAUGAUGGCUUAGUGGUAGAAGUAUAGUUAUUGGAUCUUCUUUAUUCUCCACAUUCCACCAGACAGCUACAUAGAAAAAAAAAAGCAAAAUUCAUUGUAAUAAACAGACAACUACUAUAAUAAAACUUGGUGACAAUUUCUUCCUUGAAAUUUC